AAAAAAAAAACAGCCUCUACAAACUUCACUGAUGAUUUGGGUGGCAUUGACAUCGUCUCAACUGUGGGUUAGAAGGUAAACAAGAGGACAAGCUCACCUGUAAUGGUGUCAACAGACAUCCUGCCAAGUGAACGCCUGACAGGUUGUCAAGCCACGCUUCCUCAACAUCAAACAAGCCUACCGGGUUGGUGUUAGUGGACUCUGUCUUUCCCUGAGCUCUUUGGACUGGCAAGAGCUGUGAGGACUUCACGGCCUGCAUGCACGGGCAUGGAUACUUCCUGUUUCACUUCCAUCCAAACAAACCGUGUUAGAAACACCCUGGACAGAACGAACACCAGCAGGGAGGGAGAAACGGAGGUUCUCGGGGAAGCA